rnacentral:rRNA from 1 species
UAAUGCCGGAUGCUCCAGUUGAUCGCAUGGUCUUCUGGGAAAGCUUUCGCGGUAUGGGAUGGGGUCGCGUCCUAUCAGCUUGACGGCGGGGUAACGACCCACCGUGGCUUCGACGGGUAGCCGGCCUGAGAGGGCGACCGGCCACAUUGGGACUGAGAUACGGCCCUGACUCCUACGGGAGGCAGCAGUGGGGAAUAUUGCACAAUGGGCGCAAGCCUGAUGCAGCGACGCCGCGUGAGGGAUGGAGGCCUUCGGGUUGUAAACCUCUUUUAUCGGGGAGCAAGCGAGAGUGAGUUUACCCGUUGAAUAAGCACCGGCUAACUACGUGCCAGCAGCCGCGGUAAUACGUAGGGUGCAAGCGUUAUCCGGAAUUAUUGGGCGUAAAGGGCUCGUAGGCGGUUCGUCGCGUCCGGUGUGAAAGUCCAUCGCUUAACGGUGGAUCCGCGCCGGGUACGGGCGGGCUUGAGUGCGGUAGGGGAGACUGGAAUUCCCGGUGUAACGGUGGAAUG